ensembl:lncRNA
CACAGGAUGAGGGUCUAUUCUAAAUGGAUUGAUAUGACAUGUAUGUGUUUGGGGCCUGGGGUGGUGGAUGUUCAUUGGUAAGGGCAGCCAUGCCCCAGUGGUCUAUAAAGGGUCCAGCAGAGCCUCUCACUCUACAGAUGACAGUUACAUCCUCCACGAUGUGCGGUGUCAUUAACAUCCUCUUUCGGCAACAGCUCAUGUGACAAAGUUGGGGAGGAGAGACAUGAAGGAGCAGCCAAGAAAGGCUAGAGCUUUGAAGGCACUUACUAGCUCAACUCUGUGUGGCCUGUGGCGGAACACAAGGCUGUGGUCCCAGGGUGGAUGUGUAUCCAGUGGCUAGAACCUGAGUUUGUGGGUGAUCAGGGUAAGGCUACGUGUGCUCGGAGUAUGAGUCUCAGGGACCCUGGAAAAUAGGAAGAAUGGUCAGUUAUCCCCUGGUGGCAUGGUUCCGGUGUCACCCAUAGUCCUUUAAGCCAGAGAACAGCUUCCCAGAGCCCUUGAGAUCAUGGUGUGGUCAGUGUUGUCAGAUGUGAAUUCCCAUCUGCACUUUCCAUCAGUCAUAGCAUACCACCACGUGCGCUACCAAGUCUGCUUCAGGAGGCUUUGCCUUCGUUCUGUGAUGCAAGGCUUCAUUUCCUCUGUCAAGGAAAGUCAGGCAACAAGACCACAGUGGAAGUUCUGGGUUUUGCUUUUAGACCCCGGUGCACUUCCACUCUCAUAAUGCCAGGGGGUCUCUGCAGAGAAGGAAAUCAGAGAGGAGCUGAGGGUGCUGGGCUUUCUGCCCCUGUGGGCUCGGUGCGGCAGUCAUCGUGGAAGAGACUGGACUGGGUAUCUGUAAUCCUGCGAGCCCACUCAGGAUCUCAGAGCAUGGUCUCCAAGACUGUGCCUUCUCCCCACCGCUCCCGCUCCCGGUGCCAUCAUCUGCUCCUCCAGGCUCCUCGAUCCCUCAGUCUCCACCCCCACAAUCCGGUCUGUAACUAGGCUGACCUCCCAGCUCCCAACACCCAAAACAACUCCUGAGGAGCACGGCAGCUCCAGGAUCAACUAGGUAAAAGGUGGUGGAGUCAGGAGAAGUAUUUUUUUCUGACAGAAGAUCAGGAUGGAGCCCCUAGAGUCUCAGCCCCAGGACUGGAGACGGGGCAGGGUGUGU